GCGCCUGCCCUAUCACUGCAGCGAGCAAGAUGAGAAUCGGCAUGCCUACAUAUUUUGUUGCUACCCUGUUCGUUUGGUGCCAUUUUUUCGUACUGCAAUGAUUUUAGGUAUGUCUGCCUCUCAAAAUUAAACUAUCUGAAAUCAUUACAAUAUAUUUUGACUAUUUGAAUGGCCUUUCAGAAUAUGAAUACUCAUAUGUUGCAAAGACGCAACCAUAUUCUUUUUUGAAUGGUCAGUUGAGCUAAUUUCAAACCGUACUUAUUCUUCCUGAAUAUGGAUACUUAUAUCUUGCAAGGAUGCAAAAAAGCAUUUUAUGUUCUGCCAACUUAGUGUGUGAUCUCCAAGUAUUUUCUAUGUUAUCAAAGGUCCCAUAUUGCAUAUUGGAAACUAGCAUUGUUCCCUUCUACAUAUCCUACAUUACUACAAUAUAUAUGUACCCUAGAGUGUUCUCUAUUUCGUAGUUUGGUGGAACUUUCCACCUUUUCAGGUUUACCUUCCUACGUCGUGCGACCAGAAUGAUAAUGAAGAAAUUGAAAACUACCUGCUACACUCUACGAACAUAAAAAAGGUUAUCCCUCGGGUUAUAAUUUUUCAUGGUUUGUGUUUGUGCCUCCGAACGACGAUGACAUAAUAUUGUAGUAUGCUAUAUAACAUUUGCAUUUCAAAGAUAUAUUUUGCCUUUUUUUCAUUAUCUUUGAUUCAGUUUUGUUAUUGCCACAGUUCUUCUGAGUGCCUCACAAAUUUGUAGACUAUACAUGAUGCUAAGCUUCUACUGAUUUUGAAUGAAAAGGGUUGGAGGUGAUAAAAAUUUCAUUUGUGCAUGCAGGCUUCUCCAUGACUUUGACUUUUAUCAGUUGCCUACAAUCUCAUAUAACAAUAGCAGACUGCAAAAAUCUUGAUACCGAACAAGUGAUAAUAGAAAUUUAGUAGUGAUGAAACAACGGUACGAUUGUCUAGCUCUUUUCUCUUUGUGGAAUUAUUUGUGUUCGGUUUUCCUGGAAUACAAAGAGCCCACCAGGUGGCCACAUGAUGCUUGGAAAAGUUGCAUACUAAGUUACCUGACCUGAUUUUUUCGUUCUACUCCUACCUCCGAGGAUUUUAAUCCUAUUCUUUUGUUGUUUGCGACAACAUGUUCCUCAUGUUACCAACUAAUGCUGCUUAUUUCCUCCCGAUUGUGCAG
rnacentral:lncRNA from 1 species